GAAGUUUCCCACUACCCGUGAAUGCCUCUUUUGUACGUCUCUGGCUGACUCCUGAAUCUCCGCCCACUCUCUGCUUGAUCCCUGCCGAGUGAAAGAGAUCUUUGGUUUUGCCUUUGCUGACUGCUGAUCUGAUCGUCUCAAGUCUGGUAAGUAAAGGUUUGUCUGAGGUGCAGUGCUGGGAAAUGUUUCUCAUUAUAGGAGAUUCAGUUUAGUGCUGUGAGUGAGCACAGCUAUUGGUGAUUAUCAAAAGUCAUCAAAUCCUAGAAAAGUCUAUGUAAACAUUUCCAGACUUACAGAUCUCGCUUAUCAUCAUACUACAUUUUUAAUUAGGCCCUAAUAUCGGCCAUGCUAAGUUUAUUAUAGAUUUAGCGGGGUGUGUAUUAAACAUGCCCCAUAUUUGACUGAAAUAUGUAGAAACUGCUGUAUAGGAGUCAUCUGUCUCCAAAUUUUUCAUUUUGCCAAAAGUCAUACUGAGUAAAUUAUUUUAUGUUAACGGCUCCCCAGACAUUAUGAUAUACUGUUGUACCAGGUAAGUACACACAGAAACGGGAAUUUGAGACCUUUGGGCAUUUAGGAACAUGUGAUGUGUCAUAAGUUUGAGUUGAGUGCAUGUGAAGUGUUUAAAGCAGGUGGUCUGAAACUGUCUGCUCUAACUUCAUUGUGUGGGUUUAGCUUGACCAUAUAAUUUUUACAGUAAGUUACUGUAGUACCACAUCUUGGUUUACAGACUCUGUUUUUAUUGUGUUAAUAGAAUGUAAAAAUGUCCUUAGAAAUGUUCCACCACCAUAUGUUAAACAUUUUCAUUCAGUUGAAUCUAAUAAUGUACUGUACAACUCUUCAGUGUGUAAUGAUAUAUAUGUUCUGUAUUUUUCGGACUGUAAGGCGCACUAAAUUCUAAGGCACAUUAAGCCAAACAAAACAGAUAAGUCAAACUUCAUUCAACUCAUUUACAAUAACUCUCAGCAUUGUUCAGUUGUAAGACAUAAAAUACAGAACAAUGCACUCACUUUUCAGGAUUUGUGUAUUGAUGAAUGUGGAUUGAUCAGUUUGAAAUCUGCUUCAUAAGCAUGGCUCUCAACAGGUGCCAGGC